AACGAACGCUGGCGGCGUGGAUAAGACAUGCAAGUCGGACGAGAUUUUUCGUUGUAGCAAUAUGAUGGGAAGUUUAGUGGCGAACGGGUGCUUAACACGUGGGCAACCUGCCAGGAAGUGGGGGAUAGCUCGCCGAAAGGCGAAUUAAUACCGCAUGUGAUUAGAGAGGACAUCCUUUCGAAAUUAAAGUCGGGGCAACCUGACGCUUCUUGUGGGGCCCGCGGCCUAUCAGCUAGUUGGUGGGGUAACGGCUCACCUAGGCUUUGACAGGUAGCUGGUCUGAGAGGACGACCAGCCACACUGGGACUGAGACACGGCCCAGACACCUACGGGUGGCAGCAGUCGAGAAUUUUUCUCAAUGGGGGAAACCCUGAAGGAGCGACGCCGCGUGGAGGAUGAAGGUCUUCGGAUUGUAAACUCCUGUCAUUGGGGAACAAGGUGCAUACGUUAACUGCGUGUGCAUUGAUAGUACCCGAAGAGGAAGAGACGGCUAACUCUGUGCCAGCCGCCGCGGUAACAC
rnacentral:rRNA from 1 species